CUUCUCGAAGCUUUCUUAAGAGCGUAUCAUUUCACUCAAUUAAACGAACAGUUGGUCUUAUCUCUCUUCUCUUUCUCGGAAGGCGACAAACCACUAGGCGCUGUUUGUUUGUACUUAAGUAAGUGUUCACAAACAUCCUGCUAUUAAAAAGAUAGUCGCAGCGAAGUCACUGACGUUCUUACAUCCUUCCAUAAGCUGAGCGAAACUUCUAGCUAAACUAGCCGAGUUCGAGUUCAAAUUAAGAAUAUCAUGUUGGGUACAAUUUGAUAGAAUAACAAAGAAAUAUUCGACGCAACUAACCCACUAGUGACUGUGUGUGUGAAAGUUAUCGAAAACUAGGAAGGUAAAAUUCCACAAUAAUGAAAGACCAUCGUCUAUGUUAAACUAUCUGGCAACUUGUCUCAUUUCAAAAACUUUCUUUAGUACUGAUCAAACUCUUAGGAAAUGGUGAGUUGACGAGAAUUAUACCAGGUGUCACUGCAUUAUGACCAGAAGUGUCAAAUCAAAUGCAAUGGACCAAUCAAAACAAGAGGAUGUCCCGCGAGAACUCGUCUUUUCUAAGAUGGAGAGGCUGAUCAGAGAGAUGCAAAAUCCGGAAACGGGAGUUCCGGUGAGGAGUCAGAAGUUGUUCCUCACAUCCAUUCCAUGUGCCUUUAUGGGAUACGAUCUUGUGGAAUGGUUGAUGGACAGACUAGACAUCGAAGACAUAGCCGAAGCCAUCCACAUAGCUAACAUUCUCUGCCAACAUGGAUAUUUCUUUCCCGUUAACGAUACAAAAUUUGCGUUGAAAGACGACAGCACCCUCUACAGGUUUCAGACGCCAUACUUCUGGCCUUCCAAUCACCAACCAGAUAAUACUGAUUACGCCAUUUUUCUGAUGAAACGAACCUUAAAAAAUAAACAGAAACACGGUUUGGAAGAUUACGAACAGGAGGCGCUGGCACGUUUGAAGAAACUUCUUUGUCAUAAGUGGGAAUUUGUGUGUAUGCAAGCCGAAGAACAAGUCAAUCUCGCCAAGGAAAGGAAAAAAACUGACAAAAUUGUGUUAGACAGCCAAGAAAAAGCCUACUGGCUAGUUCAAAGACCACCGCCAGGAAUAUUCAGCUGUUUGGAAAGAAGCCCAAUAGCUAAUAAACAAACAACUAAAAAAGCCAAGACGAAGGAAGAAUUAAAGAAACGGGUCGAAUUCUUCAAGCAGUAUAUCUGUAAACCUAGAACAAGACUUCGUCAAGUGCUUGAGAGUUUAAUUCUUCGCUGCAAGGAAUAUGCUGAUUUCGAUCCAUUUAUAUCAGGUGCUCAGCCGUCAAAUCCUUGGAUAUCUGACGACACCACACUUUGGCAUCUAAACAAUGAUUUGGUUGAAACACCAACUGAGAAGCGAGUUAAACGGUGGACGAUUUCAUUGGAAGAACUGUUGGCCGAUCCAACUGGUGUUGUGGAAUUCGAAGUGUACCUGAGGAAGGAAUAUAGCUACGAAAAUAUUCGUUUUUGGAAAGCCGUGCAAGGUUUAAAACGUGGUUCUCAGACUGGUAUUGCCGACAGGGUGAAAGAUAUUUACGAAGAAUUCUUGGCCGCUGGUGCUCCCUGUGAAGUGAACUUAGACAGCAAAACAGUAGAGGUGACCCAAGAGCUCAUGAGGAGCCCCUCUCGCUACACAUUUGACGCUGCUCAAGAGCACGUGUUCUCACUGAUGAAAAAGGAUUCCUAUGCUCGCUUUCUUCGAUCUGAUCAUUACAAGAAUCUCAUCAGAAAUGCCCAACAAACGGCACAGAAGAAGAAGUUUUUCAAUUUUGGUGCUUCAACACGAAAAAAGAGCUCGCCAGCAGCCGGUACAAGCAAAAGGAGAAACAGCGGUUCUCACAUGACUAAUAGUACGGUGGACCUUAGUUUGACUCGACAGCCAAGUGUAGAACGACCUUUUACAGGAAAACAUUCCCACAGUACGAGCGACCUUCAGGAUCUAGAAACGCCUUCUGAUAAAUUGUCGUGUAGUAGAUUGUCUUCGCCGUCAGUAUCGCGUGAUCGUGUGAACGAUACUGUACGAAGCACCCUUCAAGUUCCAAGGGGAUCUCAACGCAUGGAACAUUCCAGUAGUUCACUGGAUGAGACUAGUUCAAACUUGUCACUGGCUGUUCCUCGACGGACUAGGAACUUGGUCGCACCUUGGGAGUUGGAAGAUUAGAAUCAAGAGAGUUAGUCACUUUGAGCAGUACACGACAAACUCGCUGUUUUACUCGGUUCACUUGCGUAGAUCCUAAUACUUUAAGACUUCAUAAUGUAACAAUCAGUGUUGUUAUUAGUAUUAUUAAUAAUAUUAUCACUUUCAUGUUGUAAAUAGUUUACAUUGAUAAGGAGAGAAUUUUCAAUGUCCAAGAUACAGGUGGUGGUGUUAAACUUAAUGUCGUAUCCAUUCUAUCAAAGAUUCCAAUGACCCUCAAAGUAAACGAGGAAUCUGAAUGCGAUUUUUACUCAGCUAAUUAAUAUCAUUCUCCUAAUUCCUACAAAUCAAAGAAGUCGUCACAGUUUAAACCAAAGCUGGAACGUUUAUUUUUGUUCAAUACUUCUGUUAAGAAGUGUGUUUCUACAGAACCAAUGACGACACUUGAAACUUGUAGAGGUGUCUAGGUUAAAGUUAAUGACUGCAACCUUCACAUGCUGCAUCACUUUUCUGAUAGAAUUUACCAGUAGUUAAGGUGCUUCGUACGUUAUAUCGAUAUAUAGGUAAUCCAGUUAACUUUCAUUGGUGUAUGCGGUCUCUAUAGUAGAUGUUAUCAUUGAUGAAAAUGAUUUAUAGUCUCUAUCGAUGUCCAAGUUAAAAGUAAUUUAGUUAAAUUCCACUACUGUGUUGUUCUCUGGUAAUGUCUACAAGUAAUAGGUGCCUCAUAGGUUAUAACAAUAUCUAGAUUAAAGUUAUUUCAUUUCACCUUCAUUACACUAUAGGUUCUUUGGCACGUUUUACAGAUAUUGAUUGUAAAGAUGCCGAGGUCAAAAAUAAAUAGGUUAACUUUGAUUCUUUGAUUGUAUUUACAGUUAAAGUGCUUUGAUGAAAAUGUUCAAAUUGAAAGUUUAUUCAACUUCCUGAAAGGUUUUACCAGCCGAUAAUGUGCGUUUGAAAUUAUUCAGUCCAAUCGAACUAGACUGUAGAACCCAUAGUCUGUAUCAUUUUACCAACGGAUAAGUUAUACAUUCACAUCUGUACGAAAAGCUCAUGUUAGAUACCACUAUGCUAAAAUUAUAAAUCCACAUCUGUAGUAAUGAAUAGAUGUAUCAGUAAUAUCGUAUAUCGCAGUCUAUAGAACCCCUCGUUGACAUCAGAUCCACUGAUUUUUUUUUUCUGACAAUAUUUUAUAUAGUAAUUCAUCGGGUUCAUUAAUAUCAAUAACACUACCAUACAAUCGAAGAGUUGCUUGUGUUCCCAUAGAGCUGGAAAGUGAUGUAUUUACUAGUGGUUGGAAGAAUCUUUAUCUUAAAUAUUUGGAGGUAGUUUGGUGAUUCAGCAUGGAGUGGCUGAUUACACUUAAUCCAUUAAAAACUUUGGCCUUGUAAAUAUAAUACUGUGUGUAGAAAUAUACUUUUUGACUAUCUAUUUGCUAAUAAGCUUGUUUUAAAUUGCGAGGUUUCUAUAUCUGUUAUUAAAGAAAACCAUUUAUCUUUGACUCGAUUCUUCGCAAUUGUAAAACAAACUUGACGUGAAACUCAAAAGUUGGCAUUGAGAUAUAACUAAAACCUUAUACUUAGUAAAGAAUCAGCAGUUUAAAUUUAUGUUUAUUGGACAAUAAAAUACUUGUGAAUUUAUGUAAACGUUAUGAUUCAUAGAUGGAAUGAAAUUUGAGUGGACAACCUGUUCGGCGAAUUAGUGAAAAUCUAUUUAUGGAUGUCCUUCAGCAAAUCUUCAGUUAUCAGUUCACCAGAACAAAUUUUUAUUCAACAUCUCGAUUGUAAAUUAUAUUUUAUGUUAGAUUAUGCAACUACGUAAUACUAGAAAAAUACAGGAUUCGCCAAAAGAAGUGUGGGGAUUUAAAACUUCGAUAAUCGACAUUAUCAUUUAUUGGUAAAAAUAAUUAAUGUUUAUUAUUUAUGAAGCUGUAGCUCACUAAGGUCUCUUGUAACCAUUAAGUAUGAAAAAUGAUGUCCGGUAGGUGUCCACCAUAAACUGAUACUCACUGGUCUGGUCUAAGAAUGACUCCUUCCGUUUCAGAGGUCAACGUUUCUCGCGUGAGGUCAGUAAUUUCUGUUUUUAAUGUUAUCUUUCAAAUCCUGUAGUGUCCGUGGCUUGUUGGUAUACACACUUUCCUUUGAGUAUUCUCACAAAAGGAUGUCUGCUACUGACAAAUCCGGAGGUCAUGGAGGCCAGUUUAUGUUUCAGUUACGAGAAAUUGCCCUAUUUGGGAACAGUUCACGCAACACUACCAUUGUUGCUUGUGUUGUAUGACAGGUGGCCUCAUUUUGUUGAAAACAAAAUUGCUACUGAUAAUAUAUUCGGAAGGAACAACUUUAACACCAAGUUCUCGACGGUAUGUUCUUUAAGCAACAAUGAUGGAGGUUUUAUUCUUGAAAUAAAGCUCAACAAUAAGAGACCACUGUUGAAUUGUCCACCUGCCCAUCAUUACAAUUCAAACCUUUAAUCUUCAUUCUGAAAAUAACAAAUGUUUUUCAUAAAUACUUUGUAAAAUCUAAUUAUAUGAAAGUCCUACACUUAUUUUGGCGGACCCUGUAUAAUGAGAUCAUGACAACAUAUAUCAAGUUAAGGAGACCCCCAUUAUUAAAAUAAUCUUUAAAACAAACUUUAUUUUCCCAACUUAGAUAUAUAUAUAUAAGUCUUAUUUUUUUUCUGUAAAAAAUAAACCAUACAGCUUUGAAAAAAAAUAACACUAAUGCGAGUCUAUGGAUAACUGACCAGAUUCUGAGCACUUAUAGAAUUUCUGCGGCCAGUGUACUUUUAAGUGUGAAAAACGAGAAUUUUCGAUUUUUCACUUCAUCUGUGAUUUACUUUAUAAAUAGGAUAUUCUAUUGUAUUCUGAUGUGAAAGACGAUGCAUAGUUAUUUUAUAAACUUUUAGUGUAUGUGUCUAGCUAUACUAGAUAUAUAUAUAUAUAUAUAUAUAUGUGUGUGUGUGUAAGGCAUCUACAGCAUGAUAAUUUAUACCUGGUUAUAAGGAGCUUUUUCAACACCAACGAAAGGCGAAUAUUGAAAUAUAAAGCUCCGUAUAACUUGAAUGCAAAUACUUGUAUCUGUUUGGAAGUUUAAAAGGUGCUUUAAUAGAUUGUCUGUUCAGUUUUAUAUUAGUUUUAGCACUCAAAAACCAAGAGACUAGUGUUAAACUAUAGAAAACACGACCCAGAACUUGAUGUGAAUCGACCUGGUUUUUUUCGUAUAGCCAUGUCUUUGGGCAUUGCUUCGUAAACCGAAAGCUGGAAAGUUAUUAAAGACACGGUCCAUGGAAGAAGGUGUCGCUAGUAGCCUAGUUAUGACCGUAUAGUGUCAUGAUUCGAUAACAAAGUUUAUACUUUAAAUGAGCUUGCGGAAGUGGAAGACUUCUACCCACAGACCUUUAAAAUCCUUUUUUUCACAUCUUGUAUCAUUAUUUAAUCUAUUCUCUAUCAAUUCCAUUACAUUCUCAGUCUUUACACUUAAGUUUGGGUUUAUUUUUCCACAUAUAAAAUGUUUUUGCGACGUUGACUUUCUAGGUGUUGUUACCAAACCUAAAUCCACUGUUCACCAGGUGACAUUAAAGUGUACCUUGAAGCGUAUUCCAACUUCAUCGGGUUUUAUUUUCGAGCAAAUACUUGUAUAUGUUUGGAAGUUUAAAAGGUGUUUUAAUCGAUUGUCUGUUCAGUUUUAUAUUAGUUUUAGCACUCAAAUGUCCGGAUAUAAUCUAAUUAUACUAAGGAAGCUGGAUGGAGUUCGCUGUUAUCAUUACACUACCUCAUACAGUUGUAACGCGCUUGUACUUCCACUAAUAUUCAUUCAGUUCUUUCAUGCCGUAUUCUACACGCUGUUUCAACCUUCGAUCCCGCUCUUAACUAAUCUUAUGCUGUUGAAUUGUCCACUAUUUAAUUAAAUUACCUUAAAUAAUAAGCCCUACCAUGUUUCAGUUUAGUCCUUCCUUAUAUUCUAUAUUUAUUCAUAUCCUGACAUUUCUUCUUUUUAUAUAUCUUUCACACUUUUCUCUAUCUUCCACUCUAUUGGUUUAGUAUAUUGGCGUCUAUCCUCUCUCAAUUCCCAGCGAUAGUUAAAUAUAUCUGUUAAUAUUUUGUAAUGCCUUUCAAGCUGUCCUUCUAUUUUUCAGUCUGGUCUUUGUAGUUCGUCUUUUAAAGAUCUUCCCUUUUUAUAUUUCCUGCUACGUUAAGUCUUUUAUUUUAUAUUCCUAUCUAUGUUUCAUUUUUUAAACUUCCACUAAUAUCUGGUCCUCCGUUCUAAAUUCUCACUUAGUUUUCUAUAUUUAAUUUAUCUUCCCACAUUUUCUCAUUGUUUAAAAUCCUCUUUUUCACAUUUUGCAUCAUUAUUUAGUCGAUCCUCCCUACUUCCAGUAUGUUUUCAGCCUUUCCUUUUAAAUCUAUCUUUAUUUUCCACAUCCUCAACUGAGUUUCAGUAUAGCCUACUGUUUAUUAUUAUUUUUCAUUAUAUCUUUUCGUAUAUUUAGAGUCUACUUUCCAGUAUUCCUUUUACUUUGUAAACACUUUCCCAUCUAACCCUCUACACCGUAAAGACAUUUCCAUCAAGUGUCAUCUAUUCUUGCGCAUUUCCCACUGUUGUUCAUUAUAUCCUCCUGAUAAUCAACCAUAUGUUUCGGUAUUUAAUACAGGAUUUUCAUAUAACUUCUCAAUCCCACAGUCAAUCAGAUAUAUCGGUUUAUAAUUCAGGGCUUGUAUAUAUCGAGAUUGUUCAACUUCUGUAGUGUUUAAAGUGUAAGCAAUACUUUAGGUACGUGCUUAUCAUGCUAGAUAGCUUUAAAUAUAUAUAUAUAUAAUAUUUUUUCAGACUUAUCAGAUUAACUGGUGCUUAUUUCCUUGUUGUUGUUAAAAAAAAUUUUUAUUGUAAAAUGUUAAAAUAGUUUAUAUCACUCUUGUCAGCAUAUACAAAUGUCAAGUUGAAUUUUAAAGGACACAGAAAGAAAUUUACACCGAAGUCUAAUUGUGGGCGUUGUACAUUACGUCCAGAGCUGUUUGUUUGUUUCUAAUUAAGCACAAAACUACACAAUGAGGUAUCUGUGCUCUGCCCACCACGGGUAUCGAAACCUGGUUUCUAGCGUUGUAAGUCCGCAGACAUACCGCUGUGCCACUGGGGGGCGUUCAGAGUUGUUUCUUAAUGUUACAGCAAACUAUACACACUUCUACGAAUUGAAACUUAGCGUAAACGAAUAAUACGUUUAGUCAAAAAUAUCACUUUCAAAGAUUAACCCAUUUUUAUGUUACUGGUUAUAGACUGUAUUUCUUUGUUGCAUAAUAGGUGAAACCUCCACAUGCUUGUGUUUAUUUGUAGUGUAUUGGGUAUUUACCAUAUAUUUAACUGAAUAAUGAAAAGUGCAAUUUUUUUCAAACUCAUAAUAACAAUCAGCAAAUUCUAGCUUGACGUUGACACAAGCCUUUAAUCGCAUUACUUUGAUGUAGUCUACAAAUCCCAUUGCUGACGCAAAACGUUAUGUGCACACAGCAGAUCAAGCGUUGCUAAAUACCGGUUCUAACAAAUCAUUACUUCAGCACAUAUUAUCUAUUUCAUACAUUUUUAUCUUCGGUUAAUUGAAGUAUAAAAUGUAUAAUAAAUUCAACAAGCACUUACUAUCUAAAGGCUCAUUACAUUAACACCUUAUAAAUUUUAGUUCUGCUGAAGUCACAGCUAAUAAGGUAUCACCUGGAAAUACCAUAAUUCAUUUUUCGGUUUGAAGUCAAAAAUAAUAAUGAAACAUAGGUUUGUCGACAACACAGUCAUGCUCUUCAUUUAUUUGGGGCACCAGUUGUUGUAUAAAACGUGGGUUUAUUUGUAAUAAAUCACCGAACUAAUAACCUUACCAAAGAAUGUGUUAAACUUACGUUGUAAACUCGUCGCACUGGGAAAAAGUAGAUUAAUAGAACACCGAGAAUGUGAUCUGUUAAUGAGUGUGCUAACCGGAUGUUCUGAAAAGUGUGAGCUUAUCACAGUGUCAGAAAGGUAGAUUAAAAGAACACCGAGAAUGUGAUCUGGUUAAUGAGUGUGCUAACCGGAUGUUCUGAAAAGUGUGAGCUUAUCACAGUGUCAGAAAGGUAGAUUAAAAGAACACCGAGAAUGUGGUCUGUUAAUGAGUGUGCUAACAAGAUGCUCUGAGGAGUGUGAGCUUAUCACAGUGUCAGAAAGGUAAAUUAAAAGAACACCGAGAAUGUGGUCUGUUAAUGAGUGUGCUAACAGGAUGCUCUGAGGAGUGUGAGCUUAUCACUGUGUCAGAAAGGUAGAUUAAUAGAACACUGGGACUGUUGUCUGCUCAAUGAAUGUGCUAACCGGAAUAAUAGGUUGUUGAGACUGAAGUUUGACCAUCGUAUGUGAUAACCAAACGUUGAGUAAUUACUACAUUAUGAAAUAUAUAUAUAUAUAUAUAUAUUGGUGAUUUGUUGCUAUUGAAUAAGCUAACUAGACGUUGUGAGCUUGCUAUUUACAACAGUCUCACAAAAGGAAGUGAAAGAUUAUUUUAUUUUAUUUUGUGGUUUAAAAUGAGCGGUUCCCUUUUAUAAACAAAACAAAAAAAUAGUGCAACCCAUACAUGUAUUUCAACCGGAACUUGUCGGUCUUUCUCCCGUUUGUUCCUCUCCUCGAGCGCUCGAGAAUUGGUUAUUCUCCUCUAAGUUUAAAGAAGACAGUGGUAUCAUGCUAUAAGAAAAGAAAUGUUGGGAAUUAACAGAUCUACCUACGGCUUCUACAGUAAAAAACACAUUUUAAAUAACUGGCCGGGCAUGGUCUUGUGAGUAGUAUGCCCAUGCUGUAAAUUAGAUAAUUCAUGGCAUGGUCUUGUGAGUAGUAUGCCCAUGCUGUAAAUCAGAUAAUUCAUGGUUUAUGUCCCUUUGUUACAGAAAAGAAAAAAAAUGCACUCUGCACGCACAUUGAGGUCGUGGGCGCUCUAUAUGAGUAACGGUUAAACCCUAUUCGGUCAGAUAAUAAAAGCCCAAAAGUUGGCGCUAGGUGCUGUUUACUGGCUGUCUUCUCUCUAGUGUGUUAUUUGGAAAUUAGAGACAGCUAUACGCAGAUAGAAAACAGGUGAGCAUUAGAUUAAUUCACUGUCUCUGUACAAGGGCGGAUCAGUCCUAACAAUCGCAUUAACUAAUAUCAAAUUAUUUCAUUUUUAUUUUCAAAAGAUUACGUCUCUGUAGUUUGUCCUUGCGAGUUAAUAAAUGUCAUUGUUUUGCACACAUGCGGUAAGUUGCAUGUUGUUGUUUCUUCUCCUUGUUGUGUUUAUGUGUUAAACUUUUUAAUGAUCUUAUCGAUGACAAAGUAGAAUAAAAUAGCAAGUGAAAUAAUGAGCUAGCCAAGAGGAAGUAUUAGAGGCGCAUCUUUCUUUAGUAAUAAGUAUAUCCACUGGUUGACUUUUGGGUCUUUGUGUACUGGACAGCCUGAUAAAAAACUGAGUCUGACCACUGAAAAGAUACGAUUUUAUCGGGUGCGCGUGUGUUUUAUUCGAGGCUUAAUACUAGGAUAAUUAAUGUUGCCUAUCUGAUCUCUUAUUUUUUUUUAUUUAACCUGCAUUUAAACCACUUGGUUGUAGUCCUACGCACUGGGUGGUGACUUUGCCAGGUAAAAAAAAUUAAAUAAUUUUAUGUGUAGUCCAGAAUUUAAAAAAAUAUUGUCCUGUAAGACUCGGUGUAUAGUUGGAUUUAAUAUUUAAAAUCCCUGUUACCAAAUGAACGUACCAUUUCAAAAGGGUAUUUAAACGUUAAACGUUCAAAUCAUAUUUUACCUUAUUUCAAAUAUUCUGUGCAAGAAAGUUAUAUAUUAUUUAUUUGUAUAUAAGUGUUUAUAAUUACGGUGAUGUAUUAUACAAUUAAUUAUAAUAUUUUUUUUCAGUCAAUUGUUACGGAGGUACAUGUGUAUAAAGUUAAAGUUCUG